UUUAGGAAUCCUUCUGUGAAGAGCCCUGAUCACAUGCAACCAAAAAGAAGCACUCUCACUUGCCAAAACCAACAUAAGUCCAUAGACAGGGAGAUGACAUGGGGCCAUCUUCAAUUACGGAUGUACCAGACUAUAUCAGUGAAUUUUCCUAAACAUUGUGAUGGAUGGACAUCACUUACCCUCUUCUUCACUCCUCGACAGCCCUCCCACCCCCUGUAGGGCAGGACGGAGUACUGGAUUAAAAGAUUGCUAAUAGUAGUGGCAGUUAGAAUACCAAGUUUCUGUGACUUUGAGAAUGAGAAAUGAGAAAAGAAAAUGUGACAAGAGAAGAAAGGGCCCUGGAGUGGUGUUUACAUGGAAAUCCUUGACAUUUAUACCUCUGUGCAUCUGGCUGGGCCUACCUGAAAACUAAGGGUGAUAUGCAUAAUAGACAAUAA